rnacentral:rRNA from 1 species
GAACCCCCUCCCCCGGGGGAUNGGAACCGAGGCGGUGCUGCCACCGCACGUCCGGUAUGCUUAGCCGAGCCACCAGGCUUCGGCGGCGGUCNUGAGACGUUUAACCCUCUGUGAAAACCCUCAGUUGCUUCGGCAGCGCGUUCCGCCCUCGCUGGCGGGACGGUCAGCCUGCCGGCGGCACCCAACCAAAACCCACGCGUGUAAUUUAGCAAAAAUUUUACGUCUGAGCGCGAAGUCGAAUUGACUAUAAAACUUUCAACAACGGAUCUCUUGGUUCCCGCAUCGAUGAAGAACGCAGCGAAACGCGAUAGUUAAUGUGAAUUGCAGAAUUCAGUGAAUCAUCGAGUCUUUGAACGCACAUUGCGCCUUUUGGUAUUCCGAGAGGCACGUCUGUUCGAGCGUCAGUAGAACCCUUCCGGACCGGCGGUUUUGUUACCGCCCGGCCCGGGACCCUGGCGUGGGGAAGCGAAACCCUCUCACGGGUUUUUUCCCCCGCUUAAACGCGGAGAAAGCUAGCGGGCACAGGCCUCACGUAUUGCGACAACUCGUAAAUCAUUUAUAGGUUGUUACCGCUAACAGUGGACCUUGCCCCGCCUCCUAAACCUACGGGAACUCUGUUCCCCUGACUCUUGACCUCGGAUCAGAUGAGGAUACCCGCUGAACUUAA